GUCUGAUUGGCUGGGGUAGCAGAAGUCCCGCCCUCCCCUUGUGACCCGGAUUUGCUUACCUGCGGGCAGCCGCGUUUGCUUCAGGGUCGUCCACCGCCAUGUUCGGUUCGCGCGCCACGGUCACCAAGAGGUAUUUUGGUCAUGUGUUUGAAGGUUCUGACUGAAGUGAUUAGUCUGCUAUGGAUUCUGUUCCAGUGAUUAGGUUUGCUUUUCGUGAACUGUUGCGACAUCUUGACCUUUCCCUAUACAUUUAUUCAUAAUUACAGAGUAAUGAUUGGUUGCGGACAUGGCUGAGAUUAGCCGCGCUUACUUACAAGGCGAGCUGACAUGGUUCAAUUCCCCUGUACCCACGAAAAGCAGACACUCGUAGUGGGCAUGCGUCUGGAGGUCGUUUGCUGCGGCAAGAGGCUAUGGCUGGCUUCAAACUCAUGGUGAUCCUUCUACAUCUGUCUCCAAAGUGCUAACGUUUAAAGCCUGCGCCUCCUUGCCUGGCUGAAGAUACUUUUGGAAGCUGUCGGGAUCAUCCUCCCCAGGUUCUCUCCUGACCCCAGAAGACCUGGGAAAGAGGGUAGCACUGACGACGGCACACCUCCGCAGUCAGCCUGCUAGUCACCAUGGCCACCUCCUGCCUCCGUGAGACCCACCAGAGACCUCAGAGCUGCAGAAACAAAAGUUCAUGCUAGCCCCUCCCUGUGGUGGCUACCUGCCACCCCUCAAGGGCUGUGAUACUAUUUCUCUUGUCACACUUCCUUACAUUACUCUUUCUUUACUGCCUGUCUCACAUAGCAGAUGGCAGUAUGAAAAUUCCUUAUACUAGUUGGGCUGGAGAGAUGCCUAAGCAGUUAAAAGGCACUUGCUCGCAAAACCUGACAGUCCAGGUUCAAAUCCCCAGUACCCACAUAAA